rnacentral:rRNA from 1 species
CCUACGGGAGGCAGCAGUGAGGAAUAUUGGUCAAUGGGCGAUAGCCUGAACCAGCCAAGUCGCGUGAAGGAUGAAGGCUCUAUGGUUUGUAAACUUCUUUUAUAUGGGAAUAAAGUGCAGAACGUGUACCGUUUUGUAUGUACUUUAUGAAUAAGGAUCGGCUAACUCCGUGCCAGCAGCCGCGGUAAUACGGAGGAUCCGAGCGUUAUCCGGAUUUAUUGGGUUUAAAGGGAGCGUAGAUGGGUUGUUAAGUCAGUUGUGAAAGUUUGCGGCUCAACCGUAAAAUUGCAAUUGAUACUGGCAGCCUUGAGUACAGUAGAGGUAGGCGGAAUUCGUGGUGUAGCGGUGAAAUGCUUAGAUAUCACGAAGAACUCCGAUUGCGAAGGCAGCCUACUAAACUGUCACUGACGUUGAUGCUCGAAAGUGUGGGUAUCAAACAGGAUUAGAUACCCUUGUAGUC